rnacentral:lncRNA from 10 species
GGAACUUCCCCGCCCCACCCUCAUCCCUCUCCGCAGGGCAGGCCACGCUUCAUUCAUCCCACCCCUGCCCUCCCAGCUCUGGGACCCUGGGUGAGAGAAGGAAGCAAGUGAGGUGACCGCUGGGCACACUGCUUUUUGGUUGCAAAGACAGGAUUUAGGCCAAGAGUGUCCCCACGUCAGAAAGACUGGGCCAGAAUGCCAGGCGGCCGAGGCAAGCAGCAGAAUGAAACCCACCGGCCAGCUCUCAUCAACUCUGGCCUCGGGGCUGGCCCGGCCGCUAAGAGGCGUGCGCUGGGGCAGGCUAGCCCUUCAGGGAAGCGAAGGCUCUUCCGUGCAGAGCAGAGUGGCCCAGCUGUGUGAACCAGAACGUGUCAUGAGGUGGGACCAGGGUUCACGGAGACAGGGUGCUGUCCCUGGCUAACUGGGGAGGCUGCACCGCAUGCCUGUAGUGACGCCAGCGCAUUAAAGCCUCUGUGGAGUCCUGCAGCAAAGGAAGUGCUCGGCACUGUGCAGUGCAGAUCCCCAAAUCUCUCGGCUCUCAGGAGGGUCCCCUUCCCUGAGCACCUGCAUUCUCACAUUCCCCCGGGGCUGGUCCUCAUGAGCUGCCCGUGGCUCUAGGAGGGAACCCCAGCUCCUGCCUCUGAGCUCCAGGUGCCCAUCACCUAACGCCUGUCUCUGAUCAUGUGUGUUUAAAUAUGGAGUCUGUUUUCCCUUAGACGUUUGAAAUAUUAAUCUUUUAUCUAUAUUUCAUUAGCUAUUUUCUAACAUAAAUACAACACAAGCUAGUAUCCAAAGUAUGUGUGUUAUAUUUCAAUAAAGUUUACGUAAAACAGUGAACAUCCCCACGAAGCGUCAAGAGCCGGCUGCCUUCCCAGUGUCCCGCAGCCCGCGCCGCCUUGUGGCCCACACUGCCUUGCAGCCCGAGACCUCAGGAGGCCCAGCCCUCAGGUCCGCGCCGCGCAGGGGCACACGUUUCUUUCAAGACUCGCACGAAGCCAAUUCUGUGUGUUUGGCACACCCCACACUCCGGAACCUCCUCGCCUCACUCUGCCUGUAUCUAGACUGAGCCCAU